rnacentral:rRNA from 1 species
AUGUAUGGGAGCAGACAUGUAGGACUCCGACACCCCCGACCCACGCAAAACCCAUCCCGGACCCCGCACCUUCAUCCUCCCCAUUUUCUCUCCUUCCUUUUUUCUCUCUUGCCUUCGCCACCGCUCCACCGCCUCGGCCACCAUGCAACACCCCUGCCGGAACUAUACAUCUCCUUCACCUCCAGUGUUCCAGCCGGGAUCCACCCCACUUCUCCUCGGUCGCCGUUCAACCCAUCACCUCCAACCGACCCACCAACUCAACAUGCCCGGCAACUAAUCGAUGAAUUGUCAGAGCUGAAAAAGUGGUCCUUGAAGACGCGGGGCGUGCAGAGGAGCAUGUUCUCAAUUUCAGGGGAUAGGGGUCAUCGAGUGCUCGACCGCAACAGGAUUGUAACACUGAAUGUAAGUCCUCUCUGUUUUCUCCCUCGCAUGCUUAGUAUUCGAUUGGUAGUACGUAGUUGCUCACGGAGCGGCUCGGGAGGGAUUGAUCUGGUUUUGCAUCGAGCCGUGUUGAUUUUUGGAUCAGUUCGAGACUUCCAGUUGAGGAGGUUAGUUGCUGCUAAAUUGUAUACACCUGCACAAUCCGAGUACACUGACCAAGCCAAGCACCACCAAAUGUCGGCGCAUCCAAAGAGUAACUUCUUUCUGGCCAUGACAGGAAAGAUGCAGAAAAGUAAUGGGGUGGGUGAACACACAAGAAGCUUGAGAAAGGUGGAAAGCACCACCAGAAAAAAGAACAAAUGUGGGAGCAGUCGGAAAAGAGGCAGGACUAAUUGGAAAGAUAUCAGUCAUCGAGAGGAGGCUGCUGCUGCUUCUGAUAAACAUUUUGUCAACUCAUUGCCUGAUCGAUAUGUUUCCAGCCCUAAGUUUGAAGAGCAACAAUUUGGCAGCGUAUACGAAAGCGAUCAAGAUCACUGGUGUCAACUUAGUCAAAGAGUAGCUUCACAUUUGUCUAUCGAAGUUGUCUCGCUUGCUUUGCUCGAUGGAGAUGAGAUGCUAUUUGCAUGCACGGGUAUAGUUCUACCACGCGGGACAUCAAGUCUGGGCCUAACAAGAUUCCUGACUUCAUCAUGUUUGAUUACAGUCUUUAAUCAGAAAAGAAACAAGGAUGAUAAAUUGAGGGAGACGUACCUGCCUGAUGCUCUGAUGAUGGUAGCUGCUGGGCGUGCCCACAAAUCAUGCAGUUUGAUGGGCACGAUUGGGGUGCUGACUGAUGCUCCUAUAGGAGAUGAUUAUGACCAUCUUUCGGCCUCUACUUGUCAGAUCACAGAGGCUGGACUUGGAGGCCCACUUAUUGAUCUUGCUGGGAAUUUUGUUGGGAUGAACAUUUGUUUCGAUAGUGAUACGGGAAAGCCUUUGUUUCUACCAUGGAUAUUACUUCGUCAACGCUUGGAGCAAUAUGAGAUACUCGGGUAUGCCUUCUUCGCUUCUAGACUUCUAGUAUUUAUUAUGAGCAAUAUUGUGGGCAAGCUUCCCCAACUAGCUUCCCUCCUCCUGUUCAAAUUCAUCCUUGGAGGAAUGUCAUCUAGGGGCAGCGGCAUUACCGGCAGCCCAGCACCAGCAACCAGUUGUCUAAUGUGCAGUCCUUGGGCAAAACUUCGAGGCAAAAUGACACCUUAUAGUGCAGGUUUCUCAACGUGGAAAACCAACAAUAGCAGACAGGGAUCUUAUGUACCUUCUCCAGGUGCUUCAAGAAUAAUACCUUCAGGAUUCAUGGAUACUUGGAACUGGAUAGAAUCCAUGGGCUAUCCCAAGCCAGAACCACUUAUGCUGGAAUUGAAUGGGCGCUUGGUUAGGACAUUCGACGAUGUUUUUGGUUGUUUACAUGCUUGGAGAGGUUACAAAGGGUUCUAUAAUGCAUUUGGUAGUGGGAAGAAUGCUUGGCAGAGGCUUGAUAAGAAGAUAGUUGAAACCAUAUCCCGGCGUGUUGUCUCACUUGUUUCAUUCAACGGAAACGACAUGAGGUUUUGCAUAUAUGGUUUAGCCAUUAAGCUCACUUUUGACUUGCAGAUCAAGGUGUUUCUCCCUCCAAAUCAACGCUUGAAUGGGACACUGGAAUCAUACCAUUCAGGGUAUAACAUUGCUAUUGUGACUGUUAAGGGUUUGCGCAAGGGUCUUCCAGAAGACCUGGAGCUUCAUCCAGAGUCCUUGCCCACAAGGGUGGUAGCUAUCGGGCGUGAACCCAAAGGACUGUUGUGUGCCUCGAUGGGCGAACCUAUACUUGGACAUGAAGACCUGAACAAGCGUAGCGCAUUUGGUUGCAAGGACCUUAGGCUGUCGGACUGUAAAAUCGAGAAGAUUGGGAUUGGUGGCCCCCUGAUUAACUUUUUCAAUGGGAGACUCGUCGGCAUGAACUUUUACGAUGGAAGGCCCAGUGGAACUCCUUUCCUGCCUUGCAAGAAAAUCUGUGAAGUCCUGCAUCUGUUUGGGCUCGAGUUGGAACGGUGGCCGGUGCCGCCGCCGUUCUGGUACCAUGGUUGGCUGGAGGUGAAUAGGUUUGGCCCAAUGCGCAUGAGAGGGCGGGUUCUCCAGUAG